rnacentral:rRNA from 1 species
AACGAACGCUGGCGGCAUGCCUAACACAUGCAAGUCGAACGAGACCUUCGGGUCUAGUGGCGCACGGGUGCGUAACGCGUGGGAAUCUGCCCUUGGGUUCGGAAUAACAGUGAGAAAUUACUGCUAAUACCGGAUGAUGACGUAAGUCCAAAGAUUUAUCGCCCAAGGAUGAGCCCGCGUAUGAUUAGCUAGUUGGUGGGGUAAAGGCCUACCAAGGCGACGAUCUUUAGCUGGUCUGAGAGGAUGAUCAGCCACACUGGGACUGAGACACGGCCCAGACUCCUACGGGAGGCAGCAGUGGGGAAUAUUGGGACAAUGGGCGAAAGCCUGAUCCAGCAAUGCCGCGUGAGUGAUGAAGGCCUUAGGGUUGUAAAGCUCUUUUACCUAGGGAUGAUAAUGACAGUACCUGGAGAAUAAGCUCCGGCUAACUCCGUGCCAGCAGCCGCGGU